GAGAGUAUCAGAGUCUAAUUAUUAUGUAGUCCGCUUCCUCCAUCAGAGGUUUAUCAUUUCCUCACGCUUGUUUGCUCAUUGUUUGCAUGCCUCUGUGGGACUGAGACGGGUGUAGAUUGAUGGAUGGGUCACCAGAGGUGCGCUGUGCUCAGAGAGACAAACAGCUGAGAGAGGACGCACACCUAAAGGCCCCUCAGUCUCAUCAGGACGGGAACUGACAGAUAAGGGCUCAGCUGGCAGUCUGUAUCCGACAACUGCUCGAUUCUGUGGGUGUGUGGUACCUGGGAGAGUGUGUGUGUGGCAGCCAGCCGAAUUUGGAGCACCUGUGCCUAAUGCUGCCAUAAAGGAUAAAAGGCCAACUCCCAGCGUUGUUCGGGCUCUCUCUCACCUUGACUCUCUCACCAGCCAGCAGCCGCAGGCCUUUUGUUUUGUUUGAUUCUGGUUUUGUUUUUUUCCUUCACAACACCUUACACUUCAUUACUCACACAUCCACACUUACAUGACUGAUGUUACUGACUGACGCGCUCCAUAUUUGCAAAUUACUGCUUCAGUUGUUUACUUUGUUAUAAUAAAUAUCUUUACUUUAUUGCCA